rnacentral:rRNA from 1 species
ACUCCUACGGGAGGCAGCAGUGGGGAAUCUUGCACAAUGGGGGAAACCCUGAUGCAGCGACGCCGCGUGAGCGAUGAAGCCCUUCGGGGUGUAAAGCUCUUUCGGCAGGGAAGAUUAUGACGGUACCUGCAGAAGCAGCUGCGGCUAACUACGUGCCAGCAGCCGCGGUAAUACGUAGGCAGCAAGCGUUGUUYGGAGUUACUGGGCGUAAAGGGUGCGUAGGCGGUUCUGUAAGUAUGGUGUGAAAUCUCCCGGCUUAACUGGGAGGGUGCGCUAUAAACUGCGGGACUAGAGUGUGGGAGAGGAAAGUGGAAUUCCUGGUGCAGCGGUGAAAUGCGUAGAUAUCAWGAGGAACACCGGUGGUGUAGACGGCUUUCUGGACCAUAACUGACGCUGAGGCACGAAAGCGUGGGUAGCAAACAGGAUUAGAUACCCUGGUAGUCCACGCCCUAAACGAUGCAUAUUUGGUGUGGGCCAUUCAUUUGGUCCGUGCCGGAGCUAACGCGUUAAAUAUGCCGCCUGGGGAGUACAGUCGCAAGGCUGAAACUCAAAUGAAUUGACGG